CAUCACACACACUCACGCACGAGAAUAAAAAUAAAAUAACCCCCGCGGACUUCGUUCUCGGCGGCGAGAGAGAGUUUAAGUUUGUGACUUGACGUGCGGGAGGCAGCCUGCUGCUGCUGCUGUUGUUGCAGGGCCGUAAUAGGUAGGAGUGUAGGACGUGGUACCUACAACUCGCGACGGUGAAUUAUGGCGGAAAGGAAAAAAACACUGCGCGGACCGAGUUCCAGUUAUGUUUAGCAAUAACUUUGGCGGUAACUGUACAUGGAACAGGAAGAGCCGUUUAAACGAAAAAUCGGAAACAUCAAGCGAACACAAAGCGUAUAAAAAUAUAUUAUGUAAAUAUUGAUACCAACGGGCUAUACAACGGAUAUAAUGUCGCGGCCCGGCAUUUCACCGGCAUUUUUACAAUAUAAUUAUUAUCAUAAUAUCCAGUAAAUUGUUUACAUGGCAAAUAAUAAGAGUUUCUCGUGGAUAAUAUUUUGUGGAAGAAGCGGUUCACCAUAACAUCACCUCAGGAAUAUUUUUAUUACUAGGUAUAUAAGUAAUAAUAUAUUGUAGUAAUGGUAUACGGUAUGGAUAACAUU